rnacentral:rRNA from 1 species
UCUUGGUCAGGACGAGCGCUGGCGGCGUGCCUAAUACAUGCAAGUCGAACGGUCUUUCUAUGGAAGCUUGCUUCCACUGAGAAGAUAGUGGCGAACGGGUGAGUAACACGUGGGUAACCUGCCCAUAAGAGGGGGAUAACAUCCGGAAACGGGUGCUAAUACCGCAUAGUUUUCUUGAUCGCAUGAUCGGGAAAGGAAAGACGGCCUUUGUGCUGUCGCUUAUGGAUGGACCCGCGGCGUAUUAGUUAGUUGGUGAGGUAACGGCUCACCAAGACGAUGAUACGUAGCCGACCUGAGAGGGUGAUCGGCCACAUUGGGACUGAGACACGGCCCAAACUCCUACGGGAGGCAGCAGUAGGGAAUCUUCCGCAAUGGACGAAAGUCUGACGGAGCAACGCCGCGUGAGUGAAGAAAGGUUUUCGGAUCGUAAAACUCUGUUGUCAGAGAAGAACAAGUUGGAGAGUAACUGCUCCAGCCUUGACGGUAUCUGACCAGAAAGCCACGGCUAACUACGUGCCAGCCGCAGC